AUCGACCAGGCCAAAGGAAAAAGGGGUAAACCCUAAAUUUCAAGAAAAUCUCCAAAUCAAAAAGGGAAUUGAAGGUUUUUAGGAUGCAUGUAUCAAGAUUAUCGAUUUCCUAAGUGUUCUUCACUAUCAAGAUCAUGUCAAGAUGGGGGAGACAUGGAAGGCUACAUGAAGGAUAUGAGGAAGCAUACACGAGACGGGCACUCGAGGCAUGAGAUUGUCAGAUUCAUGAAGGAAUGAAACCUGGUUUGGAUAAAGAGUAUUUAAGAAAGCGCUUGGACAAUUCCACGUUUACUUCAUAGAAUGCUUUACGAAUUUCUAUUAUAUGGUUUAAUGGUGUAUGGUGUUUUAAUGACUAAUUGGUCAUGAAGCCUUGAUAUAAUGUAACAUUGUGACUCCUCUCUAAUGAACGUAUUACAUUUUGUAAUUGAGUUUUCAUGUAAUUAAUAUGACUUUUUAAGAACGAAAUUU
rnacentral:lncRNA from 1 species